GGACUACUGGGGUUUCUAAUCCUGUUUGCUCCCCUAGCUCUCGCGCCUCAGCGUCUGUAUCAGCCCAGAAAACCGUCUUCACCACCGGUGUUCUUCCACAUAUCUACGCAUUUCACCGCUACACGUGGAAUUCCGUUUUCCCUAACUGUACUCUCAGCCAAAAAGUUUCAAAUGCAGUCUUGGAGUUGAGCUCCAAAAUUUCACAUCUGACUUCCCCGGCCGCCUACGCGCCCUUUACGCCCAGUAAUUCCGAUCAAUGCUUGCACCCUCCGUAUUACCGCGGCUGCUGGCAC
rnacentral:rRNA from 1 species